rnacentral:lncRNA from 1 species
UAACUAUUAGAUCUACCAUAGGAAUCAAAAUAAGUUAGAGAUCAUUACCAAACAAAUUUAAUCUUGAUCUUCUCUAGUCCAAUAAUUAGAGAAAGUGUUCUUCAGAUCUCUCAUAGCCACACGGAGUCAUCUGGCCUCUAUAGGAGGAUCUAUGCGAAGACAGGCAUAGAUCAGGGACUUGGAGGUGCUAGCCUGCAAGCAACUUCGACAGCUGAUUUGUUCUUCCUUCUUUAAGUAUCUUAGAUACUCCAAAGCAAGAGCAGAUUAAGAGGAGAAAUAGAGGAGGAGGAGAAGAAGCUCUAGAAAUAGA